rnacentral:misc_RNA from 1 species
UAACUGCGAUAAGUAGCGUGAAUUGCAGACGCUUUGAACGUUAAACCUUCGAACGCACAUUGCGCCGUCGGAGUCCUAUCCGGCGGCACAUCUGGUUGAGGGUCGUGAUCAAAAACAGCCUGAAUGGAGAGCUGUUAGCUAAACGCAAUUGGCGAAUCACGGGUUCGGCCACCCGACUCGAGUCGAACGUGUUUUGCCAUCAUGAAACAGAGGACGACGACCGACCACGGUCGUUGCCUGCCACACGGAUGGGCUGUCGGUUGAGGAGACGGACCUCGGCCCCAGGGUAUCUUUGAAUGCAAUACUCUGGGUGAGUCGCUAGGUAUCAGCCGAUGUAUGGUCACCAUACGUGCUUGGUAUUGAGUUGCAGAGCACUUCUUUGAUUGCUUGCUUGCACUCCCGACCUCAACUCAGGUGUGAUUACCCGCUGAACUUAAGC